UCUGCACGGCAGUGGCAUUUUGGUGGCUAACCAUCCUGCUGGCCUGGCACUUCCGCAUCUGAAGUGCUGGGGAGCUUGUAGCCAGACACACUGAAUGCACGUCAUGCAACACGGUCCAGACUACAGGUGACAGUCAAGAGGUAUUGUCUUGAAGAACUCCAUUGGUAAUUUAUUGUUCAAACUGGAUAUUCUGGGCGUGAAAGGCGGCAUUAUUAAGUAUGCCUGGACAACAGGCACAACCAGGACUAUGCCAGGCAAACCAGGCAGAAAGCACAGUAUGACGAGGCGGACCGCAGCCAGAGCGUGAAGGAGAGGGAAAGAGCGCACA